GGAUGGAUCAUUAACAAAGGAUUCUAUCCAAUGUAUUGUGAACUGUAUUGAAAAGACAGUCAGUGUGCUUGUCAUGCUGGCCGUACCAAACAAACGUAUUCAAACUGACGUCUACUUUAGUACAACUAAAGACAACUUUUAGCAACGGAUCUCUUGGCUCUCGCAACGAUGAAGAACGCAGCAAAAUGCGAUACGUAAUGUGAAUUGCAGAACCGUGAAUCAUCAAAUCUUUGAACGCACAUUGCACUGUCUGGAACUCCGGGCAGUAUACCUGUUUGAGUAUCAGUAACAUCUCUCCCACCAAAACUCGGUCAAACGAGCGGCAGAAGGAUCUGAGCCGUCAUCUCGCCGUAUCUCGGUAGAGGAGCGGCUUUAAACUGAUUUGCUGGUGUGGAAGGAGCUAGCUGACAGAGUUAAUGGAUCUCUGGAUCUGUCGCUGUCUGGCAAAACUGUUUCCGUCACUGGCUACUUAAAACUCACCACACAGUGUUAUGACUGUGAUCUUGAUCUCAAAUCAGGUAAGAUUACCCGCUGAACUUAAGCAUAUUAAUAAGCGGAGGAAAAGAAACUAACAAGGAUUCCCCUAGUAAUGGCGAAUGAAGCGGGAACAGCUCAAAUUUAAAAUCUCCUCGGAGAAUUGUAGUUUAAAGAAGUGUCUUCGUUGGUGGCCUGGGUACAAGUCCCUUGGAAUAGGGCAUCAUAGAGGGUGAGAAUCCCGUCUUUGACUCAGGUACUGCCACACUGUGAUACACUUUCAAAGAGUCGGGUUGUUUGGGAAUGCAGCCCAAAGUAGGUGGUAUAUUUCAUCUAAAGCUAAAUACAGGCGAGAGACCGAUAGCGAACAAGUACCGUGAGGGAAAGAUGAAAAGAACUUUGAAAAGAGAGUUAAAUAGUACGUGAAAUUGCUAAAAGGGAAACGAUUGAAAUCAGUGUUGAGUGGUGAAAAUCAGCCGGUCAGAAAUGGUCGGUGCACUUUUUGCCAUUCAGGUCAACAUCAGUUUUGUGGUGAGGUAAAUUAGUGCGGGAAGGUGGCUCCCUCGGGAGUGUUAUAGCCUGCAUGAGUGCCUCGCUCGAGACUGAGGACUGCAGUACAUGCCAAUGGCUGGCGACCCGUGUACUACUUUUCAAGUGUUCAGAGACAGCAUGCUGACUCUGUCUAGUUGAACGGUACCUAUGCGGCUAGCACAAAUGUACUAAGGAUGUUGACGAAAUGGUUUUAAACGACCCGUCUUGAAACACGGACCAAGGAGUCUAACACAUGUGCGAGUAUUUGGGUGAAAAGCCCAUAUGCGAAAUGAAAGUAAACUGGGUGGGAUCCCGCAAGGGUGCACCAUCGACCGGUCUUGACUUUUAAUGAUAGAUCUGAGUAAGAGCAUAUGUGCUGGGACCCGAAAGAUGGUGAACUAUGCCUGAAUAGGGUGAAGCCAGAGGAAACUCUGGUGGAAGCUCGUAGCGGUACUGACGUGCAAAUCGUUCGUCAAAUUUGGGUAUAGGGGCGAAAGACUAAUCGAACCUUCUUGUAGCUGGUUCCCUC
rnacentral:misc_RNA from 1 species